UGUGACCUCAAAUCAGGUAGGACUACCCGCUGAACUUAAGCAUAUCAAUAAGCGGAGGAAAAGAAACUAACAAGGAUUCCCCUAGUAACUGCGAGUGAAGCGGGAAAAGCUCAAAUUUAAAAUCUGUCAGUCUUUGGCUGUCCGAGUUGUAAUCUAGAGAAGUGUUAUCCGCGCUGGACCGUGUACAAGUCUCCUGGAAUGGAGCGUCAUAGAGGGUGAGAAUCCCGUCUUUGACACGGACUGCCAGGGCUUUGUGAUGCGCUCUCAAAGAGUCGAGUUGUUUGGGAAUGCAGCUCAAAAUGGGUGGUAAAUUCCAUCUAAAGCUAAAUAUUGGCGAGAGACCGAUAGCGAACAAGUACCGUGAGGGAAAGAUGAAAAGAACUUUGGAAAGAGAGUUAAACAGUACGUGAAAUUGCUGAAAGGGAAACGCUUGAAGUCAGUCACGUUGGCCAGGGAUCAACCUUGCUUUUGCUUGGUGUACUUUCUGGUUGACGGGUCAGCAUCAAUUUUGACUGUUGGAAAAAGAUCAAGGGAAUGUGGCAUCUU
rnacentral:rRNA from 1 species